rnacentral:rRNA from 1 species
GACGAACGCUGGCGGCGUGCUUAACACAUGCAAGUCGAACGGAAAGGCCCUGCUUUUGUGGGGUGCUCGAGUGGCGAACGGGUGAGUAACACGUGAGUAACCUGCCCUUGACUUUGGGAUAACUUCAGGAAACUGGGGCUAAUACCGGAUAGGAGCUCCUGCUGCAUGGUGGGGGUUGGAAAGUUUCGGCGGUGGGGGAUGGACUCGCGGCUUAUCAGCUUGUUGGUGGGGGAGUGGCUUACCAAGGCUUUGACGGGUAGCCGGCCCGAGAGGGUGACCGGCCACAUUGGUACUGCGGUACGGCCCAGACUCCUACGUUAGGCAGCAGUGGGAAAUAUUGCACAAUGGGCGGAAGCCUGAUGCAGCAACGCCGCGUUCGGGAUGACGUCCUUCGGGUUGUAAACCGCUUUCGCCUGUGACGAAGCGUGAGUGACGGUAAUGGGUAAAGAAGCACCGGCUAACUACGUG